rnacentral:rRNA from 1 species
UCCUACGGGAGGCAGCAGUAGGGAAUCUUCCACAAUGGACGCAAGUCUGAUGGAGCAACGCCGCGUGAGUGAAGAAGGUCUUCGGAUCGUAAAGCUCUGUUGUUGGUGAAGAAGGAUAGAGGCAGUAACUGGUCUUUAUUUGACGGUAAUCAACCAGAAAGUCACGGCUAACUACGUGCCAGCAGCCGCGGUAAUACGUAGGUGGCAAGCGUUGUCCGGAUUUAUUGGGCGUAAAGCGAGCGCAGGCGGAAUGAUAAGUCUGAUGUGAAAGCCCACGGCUCAACCGUGGAACUGCAUCGGAAACUGUCAUUCUUGAGUGCAGAAGAGGAGAGUGGAACUCCAUGUGUAGCGGUGGAAUGCGUAGAUAUAUGGAAGAACACCAGUGGCGAAGGCGGCUCUCUGGUCUGCAACUGACGCUGAGGCUCGAAAGCAUGGGUAGCGAACAGGAUUAGAUACCCUGGUAGUCCAUGCCGUAAACGAUGAGCGCUAGGUGUUGGGGACUUUCCGGUCCUCAGUGCCGCAGCAAACGCAUUAAGCGCUCCGCCUGGGAGACAGCCAACGUUNU